rnacentral:misc_RNA from 1 species
GAUGAAGAACGUAGCGAAAUGCGAUAAGUAAUGUGAAUUGCAGAAUUCAGUGAAUCAUCGAAUCUUUGAACGCACAUUGCGCCCGGCAGUAAUCUGCCGGGCAUGCCUGUCCGAGCGUCAUUUCUGCCCUCGAGCGAGUCCAGCAUCUAGGUGCUGGGCCCGCCCGGCGUUGGGGCACUACGGGAAGCCCUGUGCUGUCCCCCGUAGGCCCCGAAAUGAAGUGGCGGUCCUGCCGCGGCGCCCCCUGCGUAGUAUAACAGCUCGCUUCGGGACCCGGUGGAGGCCUGCCGUCAAACCUUACUCUCUAAGUUUGACCUCGGAUCAGGUAGGGUUACCCGCUGAACUUAAGCAUAUCAAUAAGCGGAGGA